GUCCUAGUAGCUUAAACUCCAAAGCACUGGUCUUGUAAACCAGAAAUGAGACCACCUCCUAGGACA
rnacentral:tRNA from 1 species